UUUUCAAUGCCGCACUGUUUGACGGAUAUACGAAACUUCAAUCAAAUCAAAGGCCGGAAAAGGAUAGUAGCGUCGUCAAAUCAUCGUCCCACUACUCUCAGUUUCUCGAGAACCGGACCAAUUUCGACUCGGAAGUUGCUAGCAAGCACCACCAGCCAAGGAAGAUGCCAACCCUUCUUAAAUUCGUCCUGUGGAAGCGGAAACUACGAGCAACGUAUUUUGGACAAAAAAGCUGUGAUUCUCGUUAUUUACUUUUUAUUUGAAUAAUUCCUGAUAUUUUAUU